GCUUGUCUCAAAGAUUAAGCCAUGCAUGUCUAAGUAUAAACACCUUUAUACUGUGAAACUGCGUACAGCUCAUUAAAUCAGUAAUAAUUUAUUUGAUGGUGACUUACUACAUGGAUAACCGUAGUAACCUAGAGCUAAUACAUGCACAAAAUCCCGACUUCACGGAAGGGAUGUAUUUAUUAGAUCCAACCAGCCCGGUUCGCCGGAGUCCCUGGUGAGUCAUAAUAACUGAGCGAAUCGCAUGGCCUUGUGCCGGCGAUGGUUCAUUCAAGUUUCUGCCCUAUCAGCUUUCGAUGGUAGGGUAUUGGCCUACCAUGGCGUUAACGGGUAACGGAGAAUUAGGGUUCGAUUCCGGAGAGGGAGCCUGAGAGACGGCUACCACAUCCAAGGAAGGCAGCA
rnacentral:rRNA from 1 species